AGAACGAACGCUGGCGGCAGGCUUAACACAUGCAAGUCGAACGCUCGUGAGCGAUCACGGGAGUGGCAGACGGGUGAGUAACGCGUGGGAACAUACCCUUUGGUUCGGGAUAACUCAGGGAAACUUGAGCUAAUACCGGAUACGCCCCUGGACGAAAGUCUUUGGGGGAAAGAUUGAUUGCCGGAGGAUUGGCCCGCGUUCGAUUAGCUUGUUGGUGAGGUAACGGCUCACCAAGGCGACGAUCGAUAGCUGGUCUGAGAGGAUGAUCAGCCACAUUGGGACUGAGACACGGCCCAAACUCCUACGGGAGGCAGCAGUGGGGAAUAUUGGACAAUGGGCGCAAGCCUGAUCCAGCCAUGCCGCGUGAGUGAUGACGGCCUUAGGGUUGUAAAGCUCUUUCGCUCGGGACGAUAAUGACGGUACCGAGAUAAGAAGCCCCGGCUAACUUCGUGCCAGCAGCCGC
rnacentral:rRNA from 1 species